UAUGGAGCUAGGGGUAAAUGGGGUUGUUACCCCCAGGGGAAUCCCCUAUAG
rnacentral:tRNA from 1 species